CACGGGGGGAGCAAGCGUUGUUCGGAAUUACUGGGCGUAAAGGGCGUGUGGGCGGUCAGGUAAGUGGGAUGUGAAAUGCCCCGGCUCACCCGGGGAUCUGCAUCCGAAACUGCGUGACUUGAGUAUGGGAGAGGAGGAGGGAAUUCCUGGUGUAGCGGUGAAAUGCGUAGAUAUGAGGAGGAACACCGGUGGCGAAGGCGCUCAUCUGGCCCAAUACUGACGCUGAGGCGCGAAAGCGAGGGGAGCAAACGGG
rnacentral:rRNA from 1 species